AUGAAGUUAUUCAGCAUCUGGAUUGUGUGGGGUCCAAUUCUAGCAGACCUGUGUCAAGGAGAUUCUGUCACUCAGUCACUCUUCUCGGAUGUUCGGACAGAAGGAGAGGCGGUUAUUCUAAACUGUACCUAUGAUACUGCAUCUAGCUACUACAUAUUAUCCUGGCACCGACAGCACCCAGACACACAGCCCGAGCACAUACUCUGGAAAAGUAAUGCUGGGUAUGGAGACGAAGCUGAUUUUACUAAAAGUCGCUUCUCUGUAGAUCUUCAGUCUGAGAGGAAAUUCACCAGUUUGACUAUUUCUGGGCUACAGCUGACUGACACUGCCGUUUAUUACUGCGCUUUCAGGACCUCACAGUGA